AAUUAAUGAACUUGAAUAAGUUUAUGCUUUGAAAGCAUAAUAUAGAAGUAAAAUCUUCUAUUAAUUU
rnacentral:tRNA from 1 species